CUGCAUGCUGAGCGGCAGCAGCCCAGACUCCUGGCAGAGUACUUACCUGAUAAUGGCUUUCCCAGGGAAGAUUCUUGUCAUCUGGUCAAUAAAGUUAUUCAGCCAGACUUGUGAAGGAGUUUCCCAUGGCUGGACUGUGGCGUGCAGGUCUAUUCUCAGCCUCUGAAGGUCUUCUCUGAGUCCUGGCUCCUCUUGGUUGUACAAAGGCUGGUCUUGGUGUAAUAAGUGAUAUUUAAG
rnacentral:lncRNA from 1 species